GUGUUUUCUAUUGUUUCAUUAAAAAAAAUGGAGAUUCAACAUUUCAUCCAUCGCCGCCCCUGUCAUUUUAAUUCAUUAAGGAGGGGAAUAGAAUCGAUCGGUGCAGAGGAUGUGAAAGGGACUUAUCCGGUCCGACCUAUGGUUGCAAACUUUAUGAGUAUUUUCUUCAUAAAUCUUGUCUUGAUGAGCACAAAGCAGAGGUGAUGCUGAGUCAACUGAAUUGGGAGCUUUAAUCAUUGCUCUUGAUAUUAUUAUUGAAAUCGGCUAGAAGAGGUCUCGUUCUUUGAUUAUUGAAAUAAGUUCAAGGGAGG